AAGUAAGCGAACAGAUAUCUCAAUGCAAAACUUCCCUUCUUCUCUUUUUACCUAUUGUUUUUCAAUAUCACCCUGUGAUUUGUUUCUUGUUGUUCCAUGUCUAGAUUUGCUACCAAAUCCACCACAUGCCUAUUAGUCGUACUCUGGACUCAUGUAUACUUUGUUUGCCCAUUUAUGAACUUAGUUUCAACUCUUGACUGUGAAAAUGAUGUGGGGCUUGGUUUUAUGAUCACGUCAUGUCUCUCAUUUCCCUGUCGGUCUCUCUCUCUCUCUCUAGUGGUCAAUUUCGGAUGGGAUGCAAGGUUGUAGAAUGAGAUAUCUUGGGCGAUUGGCCCAGAUUGAUAAUGUAGCUUAAGUUCUGUUUGAUGAAGAGAAGAAGAAUUAACUUUGUGGAGGAGCUCCGAACAACCAUGAGCAGCAUUGUGAUAGAAGUCUUUCUUUCAGCUUUUGGAUGCUGUACAUCACUAAUAACUGGUGUGACAUGAAGUGAAAGUUUUUGGUUUAUCUUUUAUUGAUGGCAUCAAGUAUCUCUAAUGACUUGUUAUUUUCUGAAAUUAAAAGAAUAUGCAUCGUUAUUUUCUGAUCUGGGCAGAGCUUGGAUAGCUAUAUCUAUUGCCUUUAUCUUGCUUGUAUGAAGGGCACUUACCUUUUUGCAACUAUGGUUCGCCUUGCCUCUUUUCUUUUGAUCAGGUGCAUACUUGAUGGUGAAAUGUUAGUUUGGGAUGCAUCAAUGAACCGCUUUGCAGAGUUUGGUUCCAAUCAAGAAAUAGGUACUUAUGAUCUUUGAUUGACAUUUAUUUGAAAUCUAUUUGUUUUGUCUACAGAUGCAUUUUCCUUUUUUGCUGAUGAUCUGCUAUUCCAUUGUGAACCUAUUUUUGCGUAAUUAAUUGCCUGGCUUCUCAUUGUGAAUUUCUUACCUUUGUCAUAGCAAAGGCUGCAAGAGAGGGUCUUGAUAGUGAUAGGCAGGUUUGUCACGAGAACAUUACUGUUUUAUUGAGUCACUCCUACAAAAACUUAGCAUAAUCACACAUGUUUUGGUUGUGAUGCAGUUGUGCUGUAUCCUUUUCUCUCAACAACUGUGUUCAAGUUUGGCAGUGUUCUCAACAGGAGAUGAGUGAGUGUGUUGAUGUCAGCGAUUCUUGUCUUUAGAGUUCCAUACAGUUGGUUGACUUCUAUCUCCCUUAACAUUAAAUGUCAAUAGACAUUGCAUUCGAUAUUCUUUAUGUUGGGGAUACCAGUGUUAUUCACCGAAGCUUGAAGGAACGUCAAGAGAUUCUCCAGAAAGUCGUGAAGCCCAUAAAAGGCCGUUUAGAAAUUUUAGUCCCUAAUGGCGGUCUUAAUGCUCAUCGUCCUUCUGGUACGGAUUCUCUUCGAUUCAAUAGGUUGUUAGUUAUACUUCUUUUUUGCAUGCUUCACAUGGUCUUAAUGCUCAUCGUCCUUCUGGUAAGGAUGCUCUUCGAUUCAAUAGGUUGUUAGUUAUACUCUUUUUUGCAUGCUUCACAUUCUAUUCAACAAUAAUGGUUGUUUCAAUCUCCUGAAGUUCUGGUGAUAUUAAGACCUAUAUAUUGUUUUCUCUCAACGAGAUGCCCGUGCCAAAAACCAAAGCUUCUCCAUUUCUCCUCAUCCCAGCUGGGGAAUAUGUGAGCAUCCACCAUGGUCUCAUGCUGUGAACUUUGUUAUAUUGUUCAGACUCAAGAGUAUGUGCCUAGAAAUGUGACCAGUAUAGUCCUCCCCAAGAGUUCCAUAAUUGUCGACGUUCAUGUCCCACCAAUUUCAAAAAAUUAUACUCCCUCAGCUUCAAUUUAUGUGAACCUAUUUUCUUUUUGGUCCGUGCCAAAAAGAAUGAACCCUUUCCUUAUUUGGAAACGAUUUACCUUUAUGCAAUGAUUUAUAGCCAACACAAAAUAUAUGUGUCUCAUUUUACAACACACGUUCAAAAGUCUUCUCUCUUUUCUUAAACUCCGUGCCCAGUCAAAUGGGUUCACAUAAAUUGAUAUGGAGGGAGUAUAUCUUUGUUGUCCUUUCUUUUUUAGUAUUACAUCAAGUCAUCAAUAAAAACAAAAUUAGUAAAAGCUUCUGGAUGAUUAUAUUUUUUAAAUUUUUAUAUGAACUCUUCUGGUUGACUGUUUUAAAUUUGUUCGACUAGUUAGGGUUCCCCGCACAGAGCACAUGCCCAAUUGCAAAAAAUAGCUCGCUUUCUUUCCUUCUUCUUCCCUUAUCUUUUACAACAAAAAGCAGACGCUACUAUUGUUGAAGUAAAGCAAUAAGCUAUACAAUAGAGUUGAAAGCCUCAUUUAGGCUAUGUUGCGUGGACUCUCCAAAAUUCUUCCGCGCUCGUGUCAGAUCCUCCAAAAAUAUACUACUUUUGGAAGAUCCAACACGCACCGAAUGAUAUUUCGGAGAGUCCGAGCAACAAAUCAUUUAGGGAAAAUAAGUGAAUCAGACACUUUGAAGAGAAGCGGAUAAACGUGUCAUAUGAUGACAACAAGUGUUUCAUUUCGAAGGAGACAUGAUUCGGGAAUAGCUUUUGAUCUGAUUUUUGCUCCUCUUUCUUACAUGUAUACAUUAAAAAAGCAGUCCUUCAUAAAUGCUUAGAUGUCUCAUUAUAUUGGAAACAAGACUAACAAAUUGGAUAUAAGUAACUAUCUUGUGAACACAUAGAACUUUUGCACCCAGUUUUAGUUUGGCUCCUCUCUUAGACUACAUGAUUUGACAUAAUUAUACAUAUUUGAGUCCUCAUCCCUCGAAGGAACCUAUUAUUAAAAAAAACAGGAGAUAAUUAGCACACAUACAACAACACGUCUUAGUUCCAAACAAGUUGGAUCAGCUAUAUAAAUCCUCACUGCUGAUGUUUUUUAAUUUAAGCUCAUCUGACGUCAAUAUUGUGCAAUUACAAAUAAAAGAUAUUAGAAGUUCUCUAUAGUUUCUGAACAUAUAAAUCUCUUAAAGGCUAAACCACUCCUAGAGAGCACAAGGAUCUAUGGUAAAAGUGCUAACAUGUUUAAACCAUAUUCUCAAUAGGUAUUGCCUAUAUAGAACUUUUUCUUUCAUUGUGCCCUAUCGCUCCUUAAGUCUGCAUGGAUCUAUGGAUCUAUAAAGAUCGUUGGUCUUUUGAGACAACUUCCUUUCAUGUGAUUUUGGGUCUACUUCAUCCUUUUUUAACACUUGAACUUACUAUAGUUUCACAUCUACGGCCCGGUGGAUCAGAGGUCGACGUAGGACGUGACCGAACCAUCUCAAGAGACCUUCUCUCAUUUAUCCUUGAUGUGUGCUACUUGAAUCUUCUCGUGAAUAUGGUCAUGUCCAAUUUUGUCUCAUCUUUUAUGACUAUACAUCCAUCUUAACAUUUGCAUACCUGCAACAUUUAUCUUAUGGAUGUGUUGAAUUGUAGAGGCCCAACAUUCAUUCUCAUAUAGCAUUGGUGGUCUAUCAUUGUUUAUAGAACUCACCUUUCACUUUGGUAGGCAUCCUUCUAUUAUAUAAAACCCGUGUUGCACUUUUCUAUUUUAACCAUUCGAUUUCACAUGUAAUUUUUUUUUGAUGAAGAACCAUGGGAUUGUAACUUUAUGUUUAACAUCUUUAUCAACCAUUCCAUUCUCCUGGAACAACAAGCCUAAAAAUUUGAAUUGUUUGCAUUAAGGCACUAUUUAGCCUAAACAUUUGAAUUGUUUGCAUUAAGGCACUAAAUUCCAUCAUUUCAGCCCAAUUUCACUUUUCUUAUUUUGAUUAAACCUAAUUCCAUCUAAUUUCACCUCAAUUUCACUUUUCUUAUGUUGAUUAAACUUGCAAUGUAUAUAUUCGGUCUUACUUCUACUUAUUCUAAAACUCAUACUCACUAUAGUGCUUCUCCAAAGUUUAAGCUUUUGGUUGAGAUGUUCGCUGUUUUCAUCAAUUACCACAAUAUCAUCAACAAUUAUUAUCCACCAUGGGACCUCAUCUUAUAUUGUGUUGGUUAGCUCAUCCAUAAGACCAUAACUACAGUAAACAAUUAGGGGUUGAUGCCGAUCGCCGGAGUAAACCCCAGGCUACGAGGAUCUCCUUUGUAUCUCCUACUACUGUUCUCACGCUAAUGACGACUCCUUCAUACAUGUUCUUUUUUGCGCACACACACACACACACAUAUAUAUAUAUAUGUAUAUAUAUAUAUAUGUGUGUAUAUAUAUAUAUAUGUAUGUAUAUAUAUAUAUAUGUAUGUAUGUAUAUAUAUAUGUGUGUGUAUAUAUAUAUAUAUAUAUAUAUAUAUAUAUGUAUGUAUGAAUCUUUGUUUUCCACCACCCACUAAGAGCAUUUCUUGGUACUCUAUCAUAUGAUUUUUCCAGAUCAAUGAAUACGAUGUGCAAAACUGCGGAUCUUUCUUCCUCUCGCGAUAAACUUCCAUCAAUCGCCUCAGCAAAAUAUAGCCUUCAUUUUAGAUCUACCGGGCAUAAAUCCAAACUGAUUCUUUGUCAUUCUUGUAAUAUCCCUCAGUCUACGCUUUAUCACUCUAUGUCUCAUAACUUUAAUGCCACGAUAGUUUGCACAACUUUGAAUGUCUCCUUUGUUUUUAUAAAUUGGAAUUAGGAUACUCUUUCUCCACUUCUUGGGCAUCCUUCUACUUCUUAGUACAACAUUAAAUAGCUUGCUAAGACUUCUACUCCAACCUCUCCAAGACACUGCCAUACCUCAAUGGAGAUACCAACUGGAACACGAGCUUUUCUAAUCCUCAUAUAUUUCAUGGCAUCCCUUACCUCGUAUCCUUUACCUAUGCUGGCCUAAUCUUAUGUGUGUAGAUAAAGUUUCUAUUGUGCACAUAUGUCGGCGACCUAGAAUGUUAUUAUCAUGAUUCAAGUUGAACAAUUGAUCAGUGUAGCCUUUGUUAUCUCUCCUUGAUCUCAUUAUCUCCUAUCAAGAAUCGUCUUUAAUACAUGUCACCUGAUUUAAGUCCUUCUCUUCUCUAUCAAUCGUGUUAGUUUAAACAUCCCUUUUUCCCUUCAUGUGUUCCUAGCUUUUUGUACAAGCUAUCUCGGGCUUCCUCUCGAGCUUUACUAAUAGCUUUCUCUUAGCUCUCUUGUACUCUGCAAAGGUUCUCCACCUUCUGCUUUUGACAACUUCCUAUAGCACUGUUUCUUAGCUCUAAUAAAUCUUUGCACCUCCUCAUUCCGCCACAUAUAUUCAUGGAGACGAGGUCCUACACCUUUAGACUUACCUAACACUUUGCUUGUUACUCUUUUAAUGCAACCUGACAUUUCCUCCAUGGGAUGUUCCAUCACCCUCCAAGUCCCACGCUCCCUCCUCCCUAGUUUUUCUUGAAAAGCUAACUGGUUAGUGUCCUUUAAUGUCGACCACUGAGUUCUCGGUUGCUUGCAAUCCUCACUCUCCCCUUACGCUUUGCAGUUUACAUCCAAGAUCACCAACCUAUGCUGGGUGGUCAUCGCUUCUCCUGAUAUUACCUUAUAGUCCUUACGUGUGGUCCUAUUGCACGUUGUAGUGAGAAUAAGUUCCUUUUAUUUGUAGAGUCAGCUAAGUUUUCUACUUCCACAUCGCAAACGUGUAGUACUCGCAGCAUGAUUGUACUGAAUUCCCAAAUUGCUCAUAUGUCAGCAGGUAGGACGAUGGGAAACUCCUCAAAACAAACUGCCUCUUUUAUAAUAGUAUUAACUUCUAACUAUAGUAAGUGGAAGUUGCAUAUAUUGCUUGCUUUAGUUGUGUUCUUAUUUGUUUAUUGUUUGACUGCUUAACAGGGGAGCCAUGUUGGUCGAUCAUUGCUCAUAGUGUUGACGAUGUUGAUAAAUUCUUUAAAGAAACUGUUGAGAACAGGUUUGCGUUGUGUUUUUUUUCUAACUUUCUCGAGUCAACAACAAGACUCUUGUAUUACAUAUAGUGGCACAAGUAAUAGAUUUGAAGAUAUAUAUAUUAAGCAUGUUUCCAUUUCGCUCUUUAUAUAUAUAUAUAUAUAGAGUGUGAGUGUUUGUGUGUGUAUAUAUUAUUUUUAUUUCCCUUGGACACACAUGUAGCUGCUGAUGUUGCGAGAUAAAAAUGAAAUCUUGCUUCUUGAUGUUUAAAUGCAUGGAAGAAUUACUUGAAACUUUUAAAGAACUGAUUGUAGAAUAGUUUCCACGUCAAAAAUUACUUUGACUACUAGCAUUGCAAUUUGAGGGAUUAAGGAAAAUAUGUGCGUCAUAAAAUGCAGAGUAUGAUUCUGGACAUAUAUUCUGGCUUCAUGGCUGUGUAACAGCCAGAUUAACAUCGUGUAUUUUCAAAAAUGGUCCUCGCAUAUACAUUUCAAGCUGAUUUUGAAGCUAAAAUCUUGGAAGUGUAACAUCUGCGAAUGAGGAAGGAAAAGAAUGACUUUAUACUCUCGUGUGUUCACUGCUUUUUAGAACUAGCUUUUUACUAGAAAGUCAAAUGGAUAGACAUCAUAUUUUCUCGCCGUAUUUGUUUUGAAUCUGAUUUCCCUUCUUCGAAAGCCUAAUAUAUGUGAUAAAUUUGGUUCAUCUCAGAACAAGUUUGUCAAAUUACCUGACAAUCAUCUGAUGAUCUAUUAGCAGCUAUGCUUUUAGAGAUCUUAUGUGCUACCUGCAGUAGCAUCGCUACUGUUCAACUACUGGGGUGACUGGGGAAAGGAAGAUGUCACAAAAGGCAAAGAUGCAGAGACAACUGCUUUGACGUCUAACUUCUGCUCUUCAUUUCUUGUGGUUAAGAAUUAGUUCUUACUGGAGUACUUGAAUUUCUUUUACCUGUAACAUAGAAGUAAUCAAAGUUCGGUAACUGACUGGUCAUUCUAGCUACUUUUUCUUGGAAAAUGAGGAGACAUAACAGAGUGCAUUUGAUUUUUCAAUCCCUUUCUAGUUUUUUCUUUAAGCUGUGUCUUUGGGUGAAAUGUUCUUCAUUACUGAACUCCUAUUCAUGCUUUUAGGAUUUCUAGGUACGAUGUAUCAUCUUUUUUUUGGAUAAGGUAGCAUUUGUAUAUAUUAAAGAGGUCUGUGCAUAGGCUGUACUGGAAAUCAUAUUUACGAGUGAGCAAAAGAGAGAAG
rnacentral:lncRNA from 1 species